UACGUAGGGGGCUAGCGUUGUCCGGAAUCAUUGGGCGUAAAGCGCGUGUAGGCGGUCCGGUAAGUCCGCUGUGAAAGUCGGGGGCUCAACCCUCGGAUGCCGGUGGAUACUGUCGGGCUUGAGUACGGAAGAGGCGAGUGGAAUUCCUGGUGUAGCGGUGAAAUGCGCAGAUACCAGGAGGAACACCAAUGGCGAAGGCAGCUCGCUGGGACGUUACUGACGCUGAGACGCGAAAGCGUGGGGAGCAAACAGG
rnacentral:rRNA from 1 species